CUUAUACGUAAAUGAGGGGGGUGAAGGUAUAUCUUUUGGAACACAUGAAUGAGGAACACAUGUAGAUUUCCCUCAGAAUGCCAGCACUUAUUGACCAAGGACAGCCAGGACCUGAUAGACCUGGCUAGUACGACGGAGGAGGACCGGCUGUAGCGACCCGUUCUGCCUACUGUUGAGGGUUUGACACUGUAACAGUGGAGCCUUCCCUUGUGGAAGGUUAGACGCAGAGGUGAAGAAGAACGACCCCAAGAGGCAUAAAGGCCCGGGCGUCAAACACAUACCCAGCAUCUUCUCCGAUGGAGCAGCAGUAAUGAUGGCAUUACAAAGGAUUGGAACGCCUUAAAAGAAAGAAUUGGAUCAUGGACACAAAGAGAGAAGACAAGUGCCUGUCGGAUGAGACAAGACAGAAACACAUCGGCUGAUGUUUCUGAACAAAGACUUAGCACCUGGAAAGACCUGUUCCAUGUUUUUUGAGUAUAAUGAUGUUAAAUGUAAUGUUUCUAAUUUUUGUGUUUUAUAAAAGUGCAUUGAAUGGAGGAUAGGGUAAUCGAGGGGUCAUCUAGAUCGUAAAAUGAUUAUUCGGAUGGGCUAAGGGAUGUGUGUGUGUGACUUAAUAAGUCCUAAGGGGGGAUAUGUAGUAGAAAAUAAUGAAGGUGUAAAAGGAUAUUGGACAAAUCUUGAUGCAUAAUUAGUGGGACAGGCUCCAGACCGGCUACAGACCUUGUUCCAUUGUUAUUCAACAGCUCAGAGGAUCAGACAGACAUCCCUUUGCUCUGUAGCCAAUGUCAUCAGUCUAUCUCUCAGUUCACUUAGGUACAAGUAAAAGUAAGGUUAACGUAAAGCAUGAAUUAUACAAGAAUAUAAGGUAAAUAUAUUUACAAUGGAGCCAAAUGUUAAACACUUGAUAUUACCUGGCUUUCCUUGGUCAACAAGUAUUUGCAUCCUGAGGUACAUUUACAUGUGUUCCGCAUUCACGUGUUGCAAAAGAUAUACCUCCAGCCCCUUCAUUUUGAGCGGCCCCUCAAAGACGGCUGGCCCACGUCACGGUGAGAGGAAACGCACUCCUACGGUUUCUCGUCUGUGGUUUUAGAAUGUUUAUUCUGUAGGCUCAAAGUUGGAGUUAGGUUAACUAAUCCGUACCACGGUUAAAAUACAGACACUACCAGCUUUAGGAUUAUGACUGUAUAUGCCACAGACAAAUAAAGUGGCAUUGUUAACAAUUACAAAUGCAUAUUUUACUGUUUAAAUUAAUAUUGCUUUCACAGGGCUCCUCUCUUGAUCCCAUGUGGCAACUGGCAAGUCAUGGUGAUUUAAGAUCAGGUUAAUAACACAGGCCAUGAAUGGGUUUUAAUAAAAGACCUCAUUUCAUAUAACUAAUGUAUAACAUCAAGUAACUAAUGUGUAAUAAUUAUGUUAUCCUUCUGUACGUAAUGCUUGAAUGGAAUGUAUGGAAUGUAUUUUAGACAUUGUGGGCGGGACAUGAAUGCUAAUGGUGAACGGGGCGGGCCCGUAGUUUAUAGCAUUGGGAUUGGCCAAGGACAUCUUGGGGGCGGCCACACAAUUAGGAUAUAAAUCGGAGCUCAGAGUCUGUCUCCGAGUUCUUUGCAAACCAUUUCAGGUGAUGUAGUUCCUCUGUGCGGUGGCAAUAAAGCCUUGAUAGUUUAAUCCUA